CCCUUAGAUGUUCGGGGCCGCACGCGCGCUACACUGAAGGUAGCAGAGGGUGUGAUCGCUCCCGCCCCGAAGCGGGGCGGGUAAACCGUUGAACUACCUUCGUGGCUUGGGACCGGGGCUUGGAACUGUUGCCCGCGAACGAGGAAUUCCCAGUAAGCGCGAGUCAUAAGCUGGCGUUGAUUACGUCCCUGCCCUUUGUACACACCGCCCGUCGCUACUACCGAUUGAGUGAUCCGGUGAAUAAUUCGGACUGCAGCACUGCUUGGUCUCCAGGCUUUGCAGCGGAAAGUUUAGUGAACCUUAUCACUUAGAGGAAGGAGAAGUCGUAACA
rnacentral:rRNA from 1 species